rnacentral:rRNA from 1 species
GGAACGAACGCUGGCGGCAGGCUUAACACAUGCAAGUCGAACGAUGUAGCAAUACAUAGUGGCGCACGGGUGAGUAACACGUGGGAACAUGCCUUUUAGUUGGGAAUAACACCGGGAAACUGGUGCUAAUACCCGAUACGCCCUCCGGGGGAAAGAUUUAUCGCUAAAAGAUUGGCCCGCGUUAGAUUAGGUAGUUGGUGGGGUAAUGGCCUACCAAGCCUACGAUCUAUAGCUGGUCUGAGAGGACGACCAGCCACACUGGAACUGAGACACGGUCCAGACUCCUACGGGAGGCAGCAGUGGGGAAUCUUGGACAAUGGGCGCAAGCCUGAUCCAGCCAUGCCGCGUGAGUGAAGAAGGCCUUCGGGUUGUAAAGCUCUUUUGUCAGGGACGAUAAUGACGGUACCUGAAGAAUAAGCCCCGGCAAACUUCGUGCCAGCAGCCGC